UACGGAGGGGGCGAGCGUUAUUCGGAAUUAUUGGGCGUAAAGGGCGCGUAGGCGGCGCGAUAAGUCAACGGUGAAAUCCCUCGGCUCAACUGAGGAACUGCCUUUGAAACUGUCGUGCUUGAGGCCGGGAGGGGGUAGCGGAAUUCCCAGUGUAGCGGUGAAAUGCGUAGAUAUUGGGAAGAACACCAGUGGCGAAGGCGGCUAUCUGGACGGUGUCUGACGCUAAGACGCGAAAGCGUGGGGAGCAAACAGG
rnacentral:rRNA from 1 species